rnacentral:rRNA from 1 species
CCGGAAUUAUUGGGCGUAAAGGGCUCGCAGGCGGUUUCUUAAGUCUGAUGUGAAAGCCCCCGGCUCAACCGGGGAGGGUCAUUGGAAACUGGGGAACUUGAGUGCAGAAGAGGAGAGUGGAAUUCCGCGUGUAGCGGUGAAAUGCGUAGAGAUGUGGAGGAACACCAGUGGCGAAGGCGACUCUCUGGUCUGUAACUGACGCUGAGGAGCGAAAGCGUGGGGAGCGAACAGGAUUAGAUACCCUGGUAGUCCACGCCGUAAACGAUGAGUGCUAAGUGUUAGGGGGUUUCCGCCCCUUAGUGCU